rnacentral:lncRNA from 1 species
AAAGAAGACAUUUUUUAAAAGUUCUUACAGAAAAAAGAUAUGAAGGUAAAUAAAUUCAAAAUAAUCAAAGACCAGAUUAAGAAUUUAAACAUUGCUGUUCUUAUUGAAAUACUGCAAAUGUUUGCCAAACACUCUUGUUUUGUAUGUAGCAGUAAGGCAUUGAAUGCGUAAUAAACUUUUGACCAUCAGCCUCUGCCUCAAUAUAACUUUUCAGGUAUUUUUAAGAUGUAAAAAUUCAUUUAAAUCACCAAUUGAACCUUUUAAAGUCCAGUUUCUAAGGCACUUUGUUUUCAUUUCACUUCAAUUCAUCUUGAAAAGAAAAGCAAAGAUUAAACUAUCCACACAGUAGCUGUUGUGGAAAACACCCUGCUUUCCAAAUUAUGUGCUGUGUUUUAAUGUCCAACCAUGUUCAAAUUACUGACCAUCCUUAUAGUAGCUGUACUGCAGGUUUUUUUUUAAAUUGUAUAUUAGAUUUACAACAUAUAUCUAGAUGGGUAGGGGCAAGUAAGAGCACAUCUAAUACUGGUUUAAUCUCUUGUUCCUGUACCAACCAUGCUAACUGGACUACAUGUUGUUCCUUGUUGCCACAGCUGGUCUUUGGCUAGGCAUCAUUGAUUAAUGUGGUUUGUUGUGGUAUUCAGUAUUUUUGUUGAUUUAUAUUCUUCUCUUUACGUAUUAUGAAAAGUAAGCAAAAAAAAAAAUCCACAAGCUUAAGACACAGGCCUUUAGUUCUUGUUAAUGCCAUAAGCUUAUUAUUUAGUACAUUUUUGACUGUAAAUAGAUAUAGGAAAAUAUGGUAUGAGUGCCAAUGAGACAACUCUCCAUCCAAGUAACAAUUUAUAAAAGAAACCAUCAUAGGUCAAGGUAUGAAAAUGUUUAUUUUUUCUAUAAUAUAAGAGGGCCUUUCCAUGUCUCUUCUUUAAACAUAAGUUUAAGUUUUUGUCCUUGUUAUUUUAAAUAGCAAACUUUGCAAAUACUUGUGUUGAGCGUCCUGUUUGAUUUAUACUGUGCAAAGUUAUGGACACACAGACUAAAACUUUCCAACUAGCUUCAAUCUAAACAUUUGUGACACCAUUGUCAUAGAACUAACCUAUAAAUAUUUUCUGUUACAUCAACAUAAAAAAAGUUUUUUUUUAUAUCUAACUGGUUUUGAUCCCUGAUUUGUUACAGUUUAAAGGGAAAACUUACGCAAAUCAAUCUACAUACAAAAAGAAUUUAAUUACCCUGUUAAACUAUUUUAAUAACUACAUAAAAACAUUUUUUUUUUUACAUUUAAUGACAGAUUCACUCAAUGAUACUUAAUAUAUAAUCAAUUACAGACUUUCUAAAUAACAGUAACAAUUAAUUUGUAUUCUUGAUUAUUGUCAUCUUCAUUUUCACAUUCACCCCUCAUGUACUCCUCACUUUCUGUUUACCUAAAAAUAAAAAUAAAAUGUUAAAUUCUAAAUUAUUUUAAAUGUCUAGCAUUAUGAAUGUACUAAUAUGAAAAAUAUCAUUAGGUAUUUCAAAUUACAAAAGAAAUUACAACUAAAUAAACAUAUCAAUGUAAACUUUCAAUAAAUUGGCACUUUUAAUAUUAUUUCAUGCAAUCUUGUACAAUUUGUGUCAUCUUAUUCUUUUACUCUCACUAUACCUUAAUUUAAUCAAGAUAAAUGAUAAGCAAUUUUUUGCAAGGAAUUGAUUGAAAUUGUGACAUUAUGCAUUUGAAGCAGGCAUGAAAACAAUGGCAUUGGGCAUGAUGGACAACAAAAAAUUGAUAGGAAAAAAAAAUAUGUCUCCUUAAAAAAUAUCAUAAAAUCAUCAGACAGAUUGUGAAUAUAAACAGAAAUGAGUCAUGUAGGUCAAUGAAAUAGAAAUGGAUUGUUUACUUUCUCACAAAAUAUUUAUAUAACUUCCUUGUGAGACAGUUAACCUUACAUUACUUUGGAACAGAUUUUCUUUUCACAGAGUGUCUGCUUUGAAGUGAUAAUUUUUAUGGCUUGGAAAAAUAUCUCCAAAUUUUGAAAGAUGAAUAAUGAACUUUAUACAAUAAAUUUUUAGCAUGAUAUCAUAUGGUUGAGUAGGCAAUUCCAGAAGUAACAAAAGUGGUUAUUUUCUACAUGUAUUCUGCUAAAUACAAACUAGCCAAACGAAAGACUGCCCAAAUGAAAGGCCAACUAAGUUAUAUUCUGGACAGAAAUAAAAUAUACAUAAUUACUCACCAUAAGAUCUAUCUUUAGUCAUGUUUCUUUAUGUUGUUGACACUAAUAUAAUGAUACAAUACUACCAACAGAAAGAGUGACACUCCAAGAGCAUUGGCAAAGAUUGCUAGCUGUACAUCUGAUACCAUUUUCCUAUUUAAAAGAAAUUAUUAAUUGAAUUUUUAAAUUGGAAAAUAAUCAUGAUUUUCCAUAAUGCAAGAAUUUUCAAUAGUGCAUGAUUUAUAUAUAUCAUCUGAGUAUGACCAUGACUAUCUUUUCAGAUCAUGAUUGUGCAUAUACAUUUUGUACAAAAAUGUGCACUAAAUCUUUUAAGAAUGUGACUUCUGUCUUUUAUUUAUCUGUAAAAUACAAUUGUUAAUAAUAUUCAUCAGAAAAGGGUGAAACAAAUCUCAGAAUACAGAUAUUCAUUUUUAACAAGUUAUAAGACAUGUUAUAUAACUUGUAAGAUAAGAACAUUUGUUAAAGAGAAUAAUAUUGUGCUUUUUACUCUAACUGAAUUCAAAGUUACAUUUAAAACUGACCUUUAAAACCCUUUUUAAUGAUGCAAAAAAAAUGUUAUGGAUGUUUCUUUCAUUUGCACACUUUUAAAUAGGUCACUUAAAUACAAAAACGUAGCAAGUGUGUCACCCCAGCUGUUGCUUCUGUAUGAUAUUUUUUUCAUCAUUUGCAGGCCUAAGGGAUGUGUUUUGCAGAAGUGUGGUGUAGGCCAGUAUUCACCAUACAAAUAAAGAAUUUUCACAUAAAAUACAGAAAAACUGGAAAUUUUAAAGUAGGACAAGUUUUCAUUGUUUGUGAUGUUUCAAUUCACAGUAUUUCAUACAAGAAUAUAC